rnacentral:rRNA from 1 species
UACGGGGGGAGCAAGCGUUGUUCGGAUUUACUGGGCGUAAAGGGCGCGUAGGCGGCCAGCGCAAGUCAGUUGUGAAAUCUCCGGGCUUAACUCGGAAAGGUCAACUGAUACUGCGCGGCUAGAGUGCAGAAGGGGCAACUGGAAUUCUCGGUGUAGCGGUGAAAUGCGUAGAUAUCGGGAGGAACACCCGUAGCGAAGGCGGCCACUCUGGGGCCGAUACUGACGCUGAGGAGCGAAAGCGUGGGGAGCAAACAGG